rnacentral:rRNA from 1 species
UACGUAGGUGGCAAGCGUUGUCCGGAAUCACUGGGCGUAAAGCGCGCGCAGGCGGCGAUCUACGUCUGGGGUGAAAGCCCGGAGCUCAACUCCGGGACUGCCUUGGAUACGGGAUCGCUUGAGGAUUGGAGAGGCAAGGGGAAUUCCGACGUGUAGCGGUGAAAUGCGUAGAUAUGUGGAGGAACACCUGUGGCGAAGGCGCCUUGCUGGCCAAUUUCUGACGCUGAGGCGCUGAAAGCCAGGGGAGCAA